UGGCUCAGGACGAACGCUGGCGGCGUGCUUAACACAUGCAAGUCGAACGGGGAUAGCGUUGGAAGUCCUUCGGGGUGGAAGAUGCUAUUCGAGUGGCGGACGGGUGAGUAACGCGUGAACAAUCUGUCCCAGACAGGGGGAUAACACUUGGAAACAGGUGCUAAUACCGCAUAAGACCACGGUGUCGCAUGGCACAGGGGUAAAAGGAGCGAUCCGGUUUGGGGUGAGUUCGCGUCCGAUUAGCCAGUUGGCGGGGUAACGGCCCACCAAAGCGACGAUCGGUAGCCGAUCUGAGAGGAUGACCGGCCACAUUGGAACUGAGAGACGGUCCAAACUCCUACGGGAGGCAGCAGUGGGGAAUAUUGGGCAAUGGGCGAAAAAGCCUGACCCAGCAACGCCGCGUGAGUGAAGAAGGCCUUCGGGUUGUAAAGCUCUGUUAUAGGGGACGAAGGAAGUGACGGUACCCUAUAAGGAAGCCCCGGCUAACUACGUGCCAGCCGCAGC
rnacentral:rRNA from 1 species